GACGAACGCUGGCGGCGUGCUUAACACAUGCAAGUCGAACGGAAAGGCCCUGCUUUUGUGGGGUGCUCGAGUGGCGAACGGGUGAGUAACACGUGAGUAACCUGCCCUUGACUUUGGGAUAACUUCAGGAAACUGGGGCUAAUACAGGAUAGGAGCUCCUGCUGCAUGGUGGGGGUUGGAAAGUUUCGGCGGUUGGGGAUGGACUCGCGGCUUAUCAGCUUGUUGGUGGGGUAGGGGCUUACCAAGGCUUUGACGGGUAGCCGGCCUGAGAGGGUGACCGGCCACAUUGGGACUAAGAUACGGCCCAGACUCGUACGGGAGGCAGCAGGGGGGAGUAUUGCACAAUGGGCGCGAGCCUGAGGCAGCAGCGCCGCGUGCGGGAUGACGGCCUUCGGGUUGUAAACCGCUUUCGCCUGUGACGAAGCGUGAGUGACGGUAAUGGGUAAAGAAGCACCGGCUAACUACGUG
rnacentral:rRNA from 1 species